GGAGGAGGCAGGUAGCUGGGUCCAGGGACAGGCAGAAGGUCAUACACAGGAGGAGGCAGGUAGCUGGGUCCAGGGGCAGGCAGAAGGUCAUACACAGGAGGAGGCAGGUAGCUGGGUCCAGGGGCAGGCAGAAGGUCAUUCACAAGGGGAGGCAGUUAGCUGGGUCCAGGGGCAGGCAGAAGGUCAUACACAGGAGGAGGCAGGUAGCUGGGUCCAGGGGCAGGCAGAAGGUCAUACACAGGAGGAGGCAGGUAGCUGGGUCCAGGGGCAGGCAGAAGGUCAUACACAGGAGGAGGCAGGUAGCUGGGUCCAGGGGCAGGCAGAAGGUCAUACACAGGAGGAGGCAGGUAGCUGGGUCCAGGGGCAGGCAGAAGGUCAUACACAGGAGGAGGCAGGUAGCUGGGUCCAGGGGCAGGCAGAAGGUCAUACACAGGAGGAGGCAGGUAGCUGGGUCCAGGGGCAGGUAGCUGGGUCUAGGGGCAGG
ensembl:lncRNA